CUUGUGGUUUAUUAUAACUGCAUAUAUCAUGCAAAUAUCCACACACAAAGGGGGCGGUAACCAGUCCCCCCAAUUCCCGUUUCCCAGUUCUCAGCUCCCAGCUCGCAGUUCGCCAAAAACCCCCGAGCAACCGAAAAUCCAAACACAAACACAAACACAAGCUGCAGCAGGAGCUCGAGGGUGAGGUCUGAUGGGUGGGAAGAGGAUGGGGGGCGGUGGGUGGAGUAGGAGGUAAGGAGAUCGAGGUCCUUGUAUCAGAGCAUGUUUGGUUUCUGGGGUGUGGCUGGCCUUUUUUGAGGGCUGCAGUGACAGGUCCUUGCACAAAUUCGGUUUUUGCAUGCUUAGGUCGCCUUCUUUUCCCCCAGCUCGUUUACGAGAAUUAUUUUAUAAAUUUUCAUAGUUUUCACUUUGAUUAAAAGUGCGGUCAUGGCUUCUGCGGCCUGGAUUUCAGCUAUCCUGGCCAGCUCCAUUACCAUGCGCAAAAUGGAAAAGCCGGCCGCAAAAGUGCACGCAACGGAAAUCGAGUGAAGUCCUGCGACAGCGUCUUACGGAAAAUCCUGUUUCAAUUGGUCCAAGAAACAACUUCCCCAGGGUUUUCUCUUUUUUCGGCUUAAUUUCCAUCCCUCGUUGAUUUGGAAAUAAUGUCAGAUAUGUUCGUUUCUGAAAUAUAUAAUGGAAAAUUAAAAGGUUGUUUCUUGCAAAUCGCUGCAUGGCAUAUGGCAUUUAAAUCGCAUGAAUCCCUUCAUGCUUCAGUAUAUUUUAGUGUUGGUCAAUAAAAUGCAUAACCCUGGAUUUUGUUGCAACAACCUUAACAGGCACUAAUGAUGGCAAUACGGAACAACUUCUGGGUUGACAAAUACCCCAAUUUGAAGCGUUAGCCAAUUUGUGGCAAUGUCCACAAUUGAUUUAGGUAAGCGAGGUCAUCAAUUUCAGUUGCAUGCAGCCCAUUUGGACGGGUCAACAAAUUGAUUUAUCUGCUCGCCAGAUUUGCGCUCAGUGCAGCCGCACACUUUGGAUUAGCCAAGUAUUCAUUGCAUUAUUGGCAUUAAUUGCUCAGCCAGCAAAAACCGCACCACAUUCCUCCUUCGAGAGUAUUUCAUUUUAUUUCAAUAUUUGACAAAUGCAUUUAUAAUUGCUGGCCGCAGAUAAAAUCCAAUGUGCCAUCGUCAUCGUCUUCCGUGCAGUUUGUAAUUGGAACUCUGAUUUAACAGGCAAAUUCCAAACUGCACUGCCGUCCUGUGGUUGGCCAAAAGCUAUCGACUACCAAACUAUCGCUUAUAUAUGUACAUUUAAUCUGAAUAUUAUUGAUAAAUAACUAAAGUGCAGCAAGCCCAGA
rnacentral:sRNA from 13 species